CCACAGCUGCAUCGAGAGAAAGAGCAGGAACCGGGCCGAGGCCGGGGCCGGGGCCGGGGGAGGUCGGACACACGCCGCCCGGGGCAGCGCCUCUCUCCGCUGGCUCCCGGGCCGGCUUCAGCACCAGCUGUUAUAAAAGCAUUCAAGUUUUCUGUGCAUCGAAUUUGAACAACAUUCAAUUUAUAUAAUCAAGACACUGAGCUUUGUUCUAUAUCCAGGCUCCUGCCAAUCAAUUAUCCGGACUCCGAGUUAAUGAUGUGAAGGUGGCUGACUUAUACGUUUUAACAAAUAGCAUCUAUUUGCUUUCCAUUUACAAUUUGGAACAAAAGGCACCACGAAUGGGUGUGCACCUCAUUGACAGUAAAUCUAGAAGUCCUGGAGAGUUAGUAAUCCUAACUCCUUUCCCCGAGCUAAUGAAUGCAAAAUCCACCACAUUCACCUCUCAUCCAGACCAUGCUCAGAAUGG